rnacentral:lncRNA from 1 species
GGCAGUUAUGGCGCAUGCGCAGCAGCAGGGGUGGCCGCAGGUCGCCGUUCAAUAAUACGUAAUGUAUAGACUUUUGAGUAUACCAAUCUCCCUGUUUCUGUAGGUUCACCUGAGAUUUAUCUGGUCUUUCGGGGCUUAAAAGGGAGACAGUCCCAAAGACGUGAGUAAUUCUGACCUGUAGAGGAUUCCAUGGGAAGUCUUCUACAAGCCCCGAAGGAAGGGAAUCUCUCUCCUCAUACCUUGAGUUUCCUGAGUACAAUUAUUAUAGAUAUACGAAGAUCUCUAUGCUCAUGGGGAAUUUGUGUCAAGGGAUUUGUACAGCCCUAUAGGAGACACCUCCAGAGAAAGUAACAACUCUCAGUUGAUUAGCUGAGGUAUGUACUGUGUGACUUAAAUAUUGAGUUUAUUUUUAUCAAGUACCUGUCAAGAAAGAAAGUCAAUUCUGAAACAGCAAAAGCUCAAAGUUCUACAGAUGGCUUUCAAAGGAAUUUGAAUUAGACAUCAUUUGAUGUUGCAAAAAACAAUGAUAUCUUUUAUAGCUCUAAACAUCAGUUUUUAAAUCAGAGAUUGAUCUAUAAAGGAGCUAAGUUUGCAUAAUCAUUAUUCAUUUUAAGAUAAUAAUAUAUGAUAGGUACUAAGUUAUAUAGUAGUUUUGUGUAGAGAUUUAUACAUAUUUUCUGAUUGCCAUCAUCACAUCAUCUAAUUAUUUAGAAAUUUCAUUUUCAGAACCUUGGAUUUUGGACAUAGAGCUUUAAAAAAAAUU